UACGAAGGGGGCUAGCGUUGCUCGGAAUCACUGGGCGUAAAGCGCACGUAGGCGGAUUGCUAAGUCAGGGGUGAAAUCCUGGAGCUCAACUCCAGAACUGCCUUUGAUACUGGCGAUCUUGAGUCCGGGAGAGGAAAGCGGAAUUCCGAGUGUAGCGGUGAAAUGCGUAGAUAUUCGGAGGAACACCGGUGGCGAAGGCGGCUUUCUGGCCUGAUUCUGACGCUGAGGCGCGAAAGCUAGGGGAGCAAACGGG
rnacentral:rRNA from 1 species